GGGGCUGUAGCUCAGUUGGCUAGAGCACCUGCUUUGCAAGCAGGGGGUCGUGGGUUCGAUUCCCAUCAGCUCCACCA
rnacentral:tRNA from 7 species